AGGAUUCUUUCCAAGCAGUUCUUAAGGAUGUGAUGCUUUUCUGCGCCAUAAGAUGAUGUUAAUUUCUCCCUCGAUUUUGAAAAAAUAUUAAAUUCCCUUUAACAAAAUCACCCAGGAGGCAGGAAAAUUUAUGAUCACUUUCCCAUAUGGAUACCAUGCAGGGUUUAACCAUGGUUUCAACUGUGUAGAGUCAACAAACUUUGCAAUGAUCCGAUGGAUUGAUUAUGGAAAAGUGGCUAAAUUGUGUACCUGUAGGAAAGACAUGGUAACAAUAUCAAUGGAUGUCUUUGUGAAGAAAUUCCAGCCUGCCAGACACCAUCUGUGGAAACAAGGAAAAGAUUUAUAUACCAUCGAUCAUACAAAACCCACCCGAAAUGACACCUGAGGU